UUACUUUUAAUAGAGUUUUUCAUUGACCAUAAAUAGUUUUUUGUUAAUUCAUUUUUUUCUAAUGCCACUAAAAAAACGCAAAAAACCUAUCUUUAUGUUAAAAAGAAACCGACAGUAAAUCCCUAUAUAAUUGCUCACUCUCACUCCUCAGCAUUCUUCACUACCAAUACUCUCUCUCUCUCUUUAUCUUUCUUUUUGUGUGUGUAUAUUAAAGAUGAGAAGAGGAGCAAUAACAAUGCGGUUGUUGUUGGUUAUUAGUGUUGUUGUUGUUGUUGUUGGUGUUAUCCAAUUCCAAUGUGCAAGUGCAGAAAGUGUGAGUUUGGAGACUGGUGGGCUGAGCAGAGACAAGUUUCCGAAGGGCUUUGUGUUCGGAACGGCGACGUCUGCAUAUCAAGUGGAAGGCAUGGCCCACAAGGAUGGUCGUGGGCCAAGCAUUUGGGAUGAAUUCGUUAAAAUUCCCGGGGUUGUUGCAAACAAUGCUACUGGAGAAGUUUCUGUGGACCAGUAUCACCACUACAAAGAAGAUAUUGAAAUAAUGGAAAAGCUCAACUUUGAUGCAUACCGGUUCUCAAUUUCAUGGUCCAGAAUUUUCCCAGAUGGAACCGGUAAAGUGAAUCAGAAGGGUGUGGCAUACUACAAUAGGUUGAUCAACUACAUGCUAAAAAAAGGCAUUACUCCAUAUGCAAACCUAUACCAUUAUGAUCUUCCCCUAGCACUUGAGAAGAAGUACCUGGGAUUAUUAAGUGACCAAGUGGUGAAAGACUUUGCCGAUUAUGCAGACUUCUGUUUCAAGACAUUUGGAGACAGAGUGAAGAAUUGGAUGACAUUUAAUGAACCUAGGGUAGUGGCUGCUCUUGGUUAUGAUAAUGGGAUCUUUGCUCCUGGAAGGUGCUCCAAGGCAUUUGGAAAUUGUACAGCUGGAAAUUCUGCAACUGAGCCAUAUAUUGUUGCCCAUCAUUUGAUUUUAGCUCAUGCAGCUGCAGUGCAAAGAUAUCGUGAAAAGUAUCAAGAAAAACAAAAAGGAAGGAUUGGAAUUCUCUUGGAUUUUGUUUGGUAUGAACCUCUUACAAGAUCAAAAGCUGAUAACUAUGCAGCUCAAAGAGCAAGAGACUUCCAUGUUGGAUGGUUUAUUCAUCCCAUCGUAUAUGGUGAGUAUCCAAGAACAAUGCAAGAUAUUGUUGGGGAUAGACUACCCAAGUUCACAAAAGAGGAGGUUAAGAUGGUGAAAGGUUCAAUGGAUUUUGUGGGCAUCAAUCAAUAUACUGCUUUCUAUAUGUAUGAUCCACAUCAACCAAAAUCAAAAGAUUUGGGCUACCAGCAGGAAUGGAAUGUUGGAUUUGCUUAUGAAAAGAAUGGAGUGCCUAUUGGUCCAAGGGCAAAUUCUAAUUGGCUCUACAUUGUACCAUGGGGUUUAUACAAAGCCAUAACAUAUAUAAAAGAACGUUAUGGAAACCCUACUGUGAUUUUAUCUGAAAAUGGCAUGGAUGACCCUGGAAAUGUCACAAUUUCUAAGGGAUUGCACGACACUACGAGAAUCAACUACUAUAGAGCCUAUUUGACUCAAUUGAAGAAGGCAGUUGAUGAAGGAGCAAAUGUUAUUGGUUACUUUGCAUGGUCAUUGCUUGACAACUUUGAAUGGAGAUCAGGUUACACUUCAAGGUUUGGAAUUGUCUAUAUUGAUUACACCAACCUCAAGAGGUAUCCAAAGAUGUCUGCCUAUUGGUUCCAGCGUCUACUUCAGAGAAACAAGCAUUAAGCAGUCAGCUAUGUUCUUGUUAAUAAGAAAUGGUGUUAUUCUGUAAAACUAUAACUAAUAUCAAGGUACUAAGCUUCCUACCUGGUGCUUUGAUUCUUCCCUUCUAUUUUCUUCUACAUUAAUAAUGUUUUUUUUUUUUUAAUUGUAUUAAUAUGAAAAGAACCAUGAAAUUUCAAGAAUUUCUUUUGAUGACU